rnacentral:lncRNA from 1 species
CAGGCCUGUAGUCAACUUCGUUUUGGAAGCGUCUAGCCUGGAGAGUCGAGCUGCCACAAGCAGCACCAUCUCAGUUCAGUAAUUCUGGUUGCAUUUCACGACUCCAUCAGAGGGCAUUUUGCCCACGGGUUUCACAGACACAUAGAUAAAGAUGAUCUGGAAGCCAGGUGUGGCAUAUGCAGCUGGUCCAGUUCCACAGAGUGGGGGAGGUGAAAGACCCCCAUGGCUUCACCUCGGAUGCUUGGAUCCUCCCUGGCACUGGGUUCUGGCAGCCCGCCAAAGAACAGAGCUCUUGCUUGCUUAUGAAUAUGUUAACAACCCACUGGGUUCCUCUUGGUUUUGGGAGCCUGGAGAAGGCUAAUUGAAACCUGAAUUCUGUCACAGUCUGGGGAAUACAACCCGUUCAAAUGAAUUCUUGGCUUCCAU